GAUGAACGCUGGCGGCGUGCUUAACACAUGCAAGUCGAGCGAAGCACUCUGCUUUGAUUCUUUCGGGAUGAAGAGCAUUGUGACUGAGCGGCGGACGGGUGAGUAACGCGUGGGUAACCUGCCUCAUACAGGGGGAUAACAGUUAGAAAUGGCUGCUAAUACCGCAUAAGACCACAGCACCGCAUGGUGCAGGGGUAAAAACUCCGGUGGUAUGAGAUGGACCCGCGUCUGAUUAGCUAGUUGGUGGGGUAACGGCCUACCAAGGCGACGAUCAGUAGCCGACCUGAGAGGGUGACCGGCCACAUUGGGACUGAGACACGGCCCAAACUCCUACGGGAGGCAGCAGUGGGGAAUAUUGCACAAUGGGGGAAACCCUGAUGCAGCGACGCCGCGUGAGCGAAGAAGUAUUUCGGUAUGUAAAGCUCUAUCAGCAGGGAAGAAAAUGACGG
rnacentral:rRNA from 1 species